rnacentral:rRNA from 1 species
AUUGAACGCUGGCGGCAUGCCUUACACAUGCAAGUCGAACGGCAGCACGGGAGCAAUCCUGGUGGCGAGUGGCGAACGGGUGAGUAAUAUAUCGGAACGUGCCCAGUCGUGGGGGAUAACGCAGCGAAAGCUGUGCUAAUACCGCAUACGAUCUACGGAUGAAAGCGGGGGAUCGCAAGACCUCGCGCGAUUGGAGCGGCCGAUAUCAGAUUAGCUAGUUGGUGGGGUAAAGGCCCACCAAGGCGACGAUCUGUAGCUGGUCUGAGAGGACGACCAGCCACACUGGAACUGAGACACGGUCCAGACUCCUACGGGAGGCAGCAGUGGGGAAUUUUGGACAAUGGGCGCAAGCCUGAUCCAGCAAUGCCGCGUGCAGGAUGAAGGCCUUCGGGUUGUAAACUGCUUUUGUACGGAACGAAACGGCCCUUUCUAAUACAGGGGGCUAACGACGGUACCGUAAGAAUAAGCACCGGCUAACUACGUGCCAGCAGCCGCAGUAAAAC